rnacentral:rRNA from 1 species
UACGUAGGGUGCGAGCGUUAAUCGGAAUUACUGGGCGUAAAGCGUGCGCAGGCGGUUUUGUAAGCCAGAUGUGAAAUCCCCGGGCUUAACCUGGGAACUGCAUUUGGGACUGCAAGGCUGGAGUACGGCAGAGGGAGGUGGAAUUCCACGUGUAGCAGUGAAAUGCGUAGAGAUGUGGAGGAACACCAAUGGCGAAGGCAGCCUCCUGGGCUAGUACUGACGCUCAUGCACGAAAGCGUGGGGAGCAAAC